AAUCAGCAUCAGAGGCACUGGUUCAGCUUCAGUGAAACCUGGUUAAACCUACUCUGGAGACUACACUGGAAACAGCCUCAUUCUCUACUCACAAUGUUAUCACAGAAAAAGUUUCUCCUUAAUAUAAUUUCAACAGUAAUAGGCAAAUUUGUCACUGCAUGGAUGAUGGUAAUGUCUUGUGAUGUCAGCCAUACUGGUGGGUAAAGAGCUGAAGGGUAUGUGACAGUGGACAAAGUUAUGACCUUCAGACAGCAUGCCUGAAUGAUUCUCGGAUUAUUUUAUAGCACAUUUAUUCAGAUUCUCCUAUCCCUCUGUACCAUGGCAUUGUAAUCAGACUAAUUAAAAUCUUUGUUCAUUUAGAAAUCUCAGAUGACAAUUUGUUUCACUCUACCCUACAGCGGUCCUGUGAAAAGAGAAUUAAAUUUGAUCUUCUGACAGCAAUUACUAAACGUUCCCUCCUGACUUCAAUUAAGCCUAGGGGCUAACGUGGCUCACAGAGGAAGUGUGAGGGCCAAGAUACAUCCUUUGCCACUUUUAAUCCUUGCUCUUCUUUUCCUUCUUUUGGAUUUAAAAUGAUCUUAUAGAACAGGUACUUCUGAUUCUAGAUUAUGAUUGGAUGAGGAGCAUUUGAAGUGGUGGUAAAAUAACUACAAAUGCAUACAUGUGAUGGUGCAUUUAAUAAUAUUUUUAAUACUGUAUGUUUGCUUAGAAAAUGCAAACAGCCUACCGUUGGUGGAAGAAUUGUUUAAGCGUGUAAUAAUAAAACAACUCUUAGAUUAACUAUAACCAUAACCUCUCAUAGCUUAUUGUCUUAGUACAACCCAGUCAAAUUUUAUUGCAAUGAUUAAAAGUGAUUAUCUGUUUGGUUGUUUUGUUCCCUUUUGGAGUCUUCUUGAUGAUGAACUUUAUCUUGGGGGUGGAGGAGAUGAGGUGGAAAAGAGAAGUUAGGCAACCUCCAUUCCCUGUCUCUGAUCAAUCAGCAGUGAAUGCAAGAAACUUCGUUUUAUGACUAAUGUUUCAGUAAUGAUGGUGAAACAGUCUGGCACCAGAUGUUUCUUUCACUUUCACUGUAUUCAAAAAUAAGCAAAAAAGUGACAUUCAAGGCAAUGUCAAAUCAAAAGGCACUUGGACUGUCAUGGAAUUUUUAUAAAUCAAGCGUAAACUUGGCAUUUGGCAAUAUGUAAAAAUAUGUCCCUGUUAGUGUCAAAUGAUCACCAAUGCAAAUUUAAACUAGUGACUGAUCUGUGAUCUGCUCUGUAAUCAAAUUACAUGACUUUCAGAACUGCAGGGGCAUGGUUUCAAACUGACGAAGCAAAAUUUCCAAAUGACUGUCCACUGUACACUGACCAGAUAGAUGAAUCAAUACCUGCCCUUACUCGCCCUACCACACAUUGCAUUUUUGAACCCUCCUUGUGGUGACCUGAAGACAUCCAAACGGGUCACAAGGUACAUUCUGUCUUCAGUUUAGAUUUUUCAGAGAGAACACAAUUUGAAGCUGAAACCCACUCAACAAGGAUGUCCUUCAAAACAAGUUUUCCCCCAUAUUUCUAUCUCGCUCUCAUCGGUCCCAGCGCUCCACAAUGAAACCGAGUAACCCAGAUCAGUGUGGAAGAGGAGAGAAAGAUUGCGUGAGACCAGACACUCUCUCAAAUCGCCUGCUGCAAAAUGUAAUGCCGUUCUUCCCCUCCCCCAACUCAGCUUUCCAAAGUAAUGUCACAGUUUGGUUUUUAAUGCAAGCCGAUCCGCCUGAUUGUUGGAAGCGUUACUGUGCUGUUGACAUUGUGGAUCAUUAAACCGUGAUUGGUGCUGUUAGUGUUUGUCUAAAGAUGAGUGCUAAAAUGAUUAAGUGAUGUCUGUCUCUUUUUUUCUCAUUAUAAUCCUUCCUUUCUGACUCACUCCCUCUGUUUUUUACUUCCUUUAAUACAUGACGCAAACUAAAUCAGAUAAUUUGCCCCAACAGCAAGCUCACAGCAUGUAUUAUAUGGAAAUAUAGCAAUAUAACACUUAAAUCUCAAAUUUCUAAUCAAUAUGCUUUAGGAUAUCUGCAUCUCACAGCCCCCUCCCCUUUGGCAUCCUUAGCGUGAAGCAGGGGGCCUGGUAGCCCCAGGCCCAGUCUCUCAUUAUGGCCUCAGCAUGCAGACACAUACCCAACCCCCUGUUUGUAGUGGUGAGAGGAACCACCAGGGGCUGGCACAAGUUACUCCAGCACCGACUCAACCCGACCUCAUCAAAGCACAAGCUCGUAAUUUGUCACAGAAAGCAACCAAUUAAGAUGCGUUAAGGGAUGAGUGAGGGGAGGAAGAGAGGGUAGGUAUAUGAGGGCAAAUCAGUGAAAAGAUAGUGUUUGAUUAAAGAGUCAGCACAGCUGUGGUGAAUCAAAACGAUCUAAACUAAAAAAAAAUAUACGUGGACAAGAGUUUUAGAGCUGGUGUGACCGAUAAAGGGUACUGCUGGUUAACCCUUGAGGAGAAAAGUGAGAGUCAAUAUUACAUUUCUGUCUCGGAUGGUAAAGAGGCUUUUACUGAUAGUAUGUUAAACACACACAUGCUAACUGGACGUGAUUUUAAAAUGAGUUUCUGGUAUACACAAAGUCAAACUCCACCCACUUCAUUCAUCAUCUAGUUUUAGCUAACACACAGCUAGCCUGGAAUAAUCUAUAAUGUUAAGAUUUAAAGGGUAAAGAUUUUUUGUUACAACAUAGUGACAUUUAAAAUUUACUACCAUGCUUCUUUGCAACUAAUCUUAGUCACUGCCUUGUGUGAACAAAAAAAUAUAAUUCUUUUUUCUUUCUUAUUCCAUGUCAAUUCCUCUAUUUUGUUUUUUAUACAGAGGUUUGCAAAAUGUGUUCAUGUUAUUUAUUUAUUUAUUUGCUUUCUCAGGCUUUGCCUUGUUGUUCAGUAGCGUGUCAGGGUUGCAUGCAUUUGCAUAGCUUCCUUUACUGUGUUUCUUGUGUCUUGCAGCUGUGACGGGCCUGUUUUCCUUCAUGUGAUCAGAAAACAUUGACAGCGAAAGUUUUCCUAUGCCACACAUCGGAUUAAACAGGAUCCUUUCUAUGUUUCACAAUUUUUCUGUCAUCUCGAUAGAAAAAAUAUGCUAGUAAAAAGUCAAAUGUGUUUAGAAAGGAUAAAUAAUUGAGAGAUGGAUAUGAUGUUAUUUUUGUAGGCAUUUAUAUAAAAAAUAGUCACUCUUUAAAUUGCUGUUAUUCUGAUGGUAAUCACUCACCCAGGCUAAAUUAUGAUUGUUACUCGAUUCAAGCUGAUAACAACGAAAAGGAAAACCAGGAAAAGCAAGUGCUUUAAGCCAGUGUUGUUUAAAUCAAGUCAGUGUGUUUUUUUCGGUAUCCAGUGAUUUAUCUACACCAUCUUGAUUUUGGCGGGUGGGGGGCACAGCCUGCAGAAGGUUGUGGAGGGAAGGAAGCAUUUUUCCAAAGUUUUAGCCACUACAGAGCAAAGGGACCGGCCCAACGUUUUCCCUCGGCUCCCGAUCCAGCUGCAGUGUUCACAAAACCCCAUCUGUCCCACUCGGCUUAUGAUAGCACAACUUGUCUCUCACUUUUCUCCCGCCCUCCUUUGCCUUUGCACCCAUGGACUUUUCUACUCCCUCCUGCACUGUUGGGCACAUAUCGCCCUCCCCCAGUUGUUUUCUUUUCCCUUGUUGCAUGUUUUUUCCUGAUUUCUUUUCCCCUCACUACUGAGAAAAGUUCUAUGACUGUUUGACCCUGAGAUGGGAUGAGAAUGCUCAACCCCCUCUUAUACCACUCCCUCCCUUCCUCAUAGUGGCGCCUACAGUAGUAACUCUUUCUCAGUCUUCUCGUUUCCUCCAUUCUCCUAUCUUCUCCUUUGCUCUUCCUGGGUCUGCUCCCAGGUCUGGUGUUAGGCAGACGUUCCUGCUGCGCAUUAUUCCAAAUAAACAACUCAUUACACAUGUAAUUAACCGAGGGGGCUAGCCAAGCAUCGGAAGCUAAGCCAUACCACUAUUCUUAGUCCCUCUCUCUGAUUCCGCUGGAGGGAAGCUCAGAGAAAAGUGGGCUGUGUUCAGGAGAAGGAAGAGUGGGAGGGAAAGUGAGAAAAGAAUUUAAAUGAACUUCCCAACAAAAUUAAAACAUUUUAACCCUCUAACCUUUUCUCUGUCUUGCAUUUUUCUUACUGGCAAUUUCCAUGGAAUGUACUCAGCUCUUCCUUGAUUUCCUGACCGUCUUAAAAGUGGGUCAUCGACGUGCUGCCUAGCAGAUUUUUACAGAAAAAAGGUCUGGGUUGCAUUCCCCGAAACCUUCUUAGCUCUACGUCGUUCUUAAGUUGUACCUUAAGCUGUACCUUAUCGUUAAUACGUGUUUCCCGAAACGUUCUUAGUUACGUAUCACUUCUGUAAGUUGUUCGUUCGGGAGGUUGGUCUGGAGCACUCUUAACUAUACCUUAUCCCACUUGACUCCGCUAAGGGCCAUGACUGUGAUAAAAGCUUGUGUACACUGCAGUCUAUUUAACUAAAUAUCUGUAAAAAAAAAAGUUGAAGUACACUCCGUGUUAAAUUAGGCAAUUUUUUUUAUUUAAAGAAUAAAACAUUCACAUAAUUAGACAUUAUUACACUGAUGGUUGUUAGAUUUGUAAUAUUUUUUUUCCAAAGGAACAUCAGCUUCAAACUAUUAUUACAGGCUUAAGAAACUAUCAACAAAAAAAAAAGAGUUUGGGUGGAGGAGUUGGUAAAACUAUGGCAGGCAGCUAGCUAUACAGCGAAUCUUACUAUUUCAUUUGUGCACUCUAAAAACCGUUGGGUUAUUUGUUUUACCCAACAGGUGGGUUAAACAUAUUGGGUUGUUGUGUUGGGUUAUUCCUAGCUUGUAUUGGGUUAUUUCUAUAACAACCCAGACAGAUGGGUUAAAAUCGGGCUCACGUCACGCAUUUUGAAUUCGACAGGUGCCACUGCUGAGUGCGGACAGACACGAGAGGUACGCUUUAAAAUAUAUAUCUCUGUGUAAUGUUUUAUUUGCUACAAAGUGUCUUUAAGCUCUAAUACACAGUAAACUAUCAGCCAUUUUCUACAAAUACUUGUACAAAAACGCUGUUGUCUAGUUUUUGUCCGUUACACCUGUUCCAUUGAUUAACUGUUACCGAUGCCAACACGCGUUUUUAAGCCAUCAUAAAGAUAGAAAAACAUCGCAAUUUAUUUUAAUACCAAACAGCACCAACAGCAUGGUCCCUUACGAAAAUGAAUCAUGUCUUUUUUUAGUAGUAUAACGUUAGUUUCAUGACGUAUUAAUUGCCAUAUUGCUUUAACCAUGGUUUCUGUAACAGACAAUGCUUUUUGUUUAAAGUGAAGUUAAAACCGUUUUUAACUUUUGUAAGGGAUGCAACCGGCUGUUUUUGGCUCCUAAUAUUUUUUUAGCCAGUCUGUGUUGUAGAAACAGAGCUGUAAUAUAAAUGUGCUUCUGAAUGGAAAUGUCUUAAGAAAUGACUCAAUGGCAUUUUAUUGUCGUCUUACUUCAGUAUAAUCCCUGAUAAAGCGCUGUUUAAUCCUGCACGUCUACUACUGUUUACGGUUACCCCAGUAACGGUUGAAUUUGCGCUUCAGCGACAUCUACUAUCAAAGUAGAUUAUUUAUUCAGCGUGCCAGAUGUGUUUGCUUUGAGAUUUAAUUAAUUACUCUAUUCUUUAAAUGUAGACAUUCUUGGAGAUGUUGCAUUAAAAACCUUACAAAAUGGCCAGCAAGAUGGUUCAGCCUUCCUACAGUACCAAGAGGCAAAGCAAGCAUUUAUUAAUUUUCAACCUGUCAGAAAACAAACAUAAUUCAGUAUUUGGAGGAGGUAUGACGAAGACCCCAUGUCCUGCUAUGGGAUGAAUUCGACUAAUCACAAGCCUUUGUUAUCGUGGGGAGGCAUGGCCCAGGAGCAAGACCAGCAGUUGACAUGUGCUUUAAUAUUUUUUACAUUUUAGACAGAGUAUCCCAAGCCUUUCACUACUGUUAAGUAGUUUCUGUAACACACAAUACAUUUUGUACACUCUAAAAACCGUUGGGUUAUUUGUUUUACCCAACAGGUGGGUUAAACAUAUUGGGUUGUUGUGUUGGGUUAUUCGUAGCUUUUAUUGGGUUAUUUCUAUAACAACCCAGACCGAUGGGUUAAAAUCGGGCUCACGUCACGCAUUUUGAAUUUCAAUGGUCGACAGGUGCCACUGCUGAGUGCGGACAGACACGAGAGGUACGUUUUAAAAUAUAUAUCUCUGUGUAAUGUUUUAUUUGCUACAAAGUGUCUUUAAGCUCUAACACACAGUAAACUAUCAGCCACGUUUUCUACAAAUACUUGUACAAAAACGCUGUUGUCUAGUUUUUGUCAGUUACACCUGUUCCAUUAAUUAACUGUUAGUGUUACCGAUGCCAACACGCGUUUCUAAGUCAUCAUAAAGAUAGAAAAACAUCGCAAAUUAUUUUAAUACUAAACAGCACCAACAACAUGAUCCCUUACGAAAAUGAAUCAUGUCUUUUUUUAGUAGUAUAACGUUUCAUGGCGUAUUGAUUGCCAUAUUGCUUUAACCAUGGCUUCUAACAGACAAUGUUUUUUGGUUUAAAGUAUAGUAAAAAACGUUUUUUAACUUUUGUAAGGGACGCAACCGGCUGUUUUUUGCUCCAAAUAUUUUUUUAGCUGGUCUGUUAUAGAAACAGAGCUGUAAUAUAAAUGUGCUUCUGAAUGGAAAUGUAUUAAGAAAUGACUCGAUGGCAUUUUAUUGUCGUUUUACCUCAGUAUAAUCCCCUGAUAAAGCGCUGUUUAAUCCUGCACGUAUACUACUGUUUACGGUUACCCCGGUAACGGUUGAAUUUGCAAUUCAGCGCCAUCUACUGUCAAAGUAUUUAUUCAGCGUGCCAGAUGUGUUUGCUUUGAGAUUUAAUACAUUAUUCUUUUCUUUAAAUGUAGACAUUCUUGGAGAUGUUGCAUUAAAAACCCUACAAAAUGGCCAGCAAGAUGGUUCAGCCUUCCUACAGUACCAAGAGCCAAAGCAAACAUUUAUUAAUUUUCAACCUGUCAGAAAACAAACAUAAUUCAGUAUUUGGAGGAGGAGGUAUGAUGAAGACCCCAUGUCCUGCUAUGGGAUGAAUUCGACUUAUCACAAGUCUUUGUUAUUGUGGGGAGGCAUGGCCCAGGAGCAAGACCAGCAGUUGACACAUGCUUUAAUAUUCCCAAGCCUUUCACUACUGUUAGGUAGUUUCUGUAACACAGAAUACAUUUUGUACCAGGUGAUGUUUCCUUAACACACUGUCACCUGCUUAAAGGGAUAGUUCCCCCCAAAAUAAAAAUUAUGUCAUAAUUUUCUUCCUCUCCUGUUGUUACAAACCUGUAUACAUUUCUUUGUUCCACAAAGACCACAAAGGAAUGUUUGAAACCAAGCAGAUCAUGAGCCCCAUUGACUGUCAUAGUAGGAAAAAAGAAUACUAUGAAAGUGAAUGGGGCUCAUGAUCAGUUUGAUUUCAAACAUUCUUUGAAAUAUCUUCCUUUGUGGUCAUCAAAUUAAGACUUUUAUACAUGUGAGAGGAUGAAAAUGAUGACAAAUGUGUGAACUAUCCUUUUAAGCAGUUUUUACUUGGAUAAGAUGGAGUAUUUGUUCUGUUCUUAUAUGUUUUUGUAUAUUUAUGUAUGUAUGUAUAUAUGUAUGUGUGUAUGUAUGUAUUUAUGCUUCUAUACAUGUAUGUAUUUAUACAUUUAAGUGCAGAUGCAAAUGACUAAAUGGAAAUAAAGCAUUAUAAAUGUAUUUUGUAAGUUUUGUAUUAUUUAUUUACAAAGCAAAUAAUAGUAAUAAACAUUAAAUAAUAAUAAUAAUAAUAAUAAUAAUAAUAAUAAUAAUGGGGUUAAAACAGCAUUGCAAAAAAUAACCCAACAAAUUGGUUAUUUCAUAACCCAACUAAUUGGGUAAAACUUUCUACCCAAUGCAUUGGGUUAAAAUAACCCAACAAUGGGUCGGUGCUAUAGUAACCCACCAUUGGGUUAUUUAUUGGGUUAUUUUUAACCCAACUGUUUUUAGUGAGUACCAGGUGAUGUUUCCUUAACACACUGUCACCUGCUUAAAGGGACAGUUCCCCCAAAAAUAAUUUUCUUCCUCUCCUGUUGUAUACAUUUUUUUUGUUCUGAUGACCACAAAGGAAGAUAUUUUGAGUAAUGUUUGAAACCAAACAGAUCAUGAGCCCCAUUGACUGUCAUAGUAGGAAAAAAGAAUACUAUGAAAAUGAAUGGGGCUCAUGAUCGGUUUGAUAUCAAACAUUCUUUGAAAUAUACCUUUGUGGUUAUCAAAAUAAAGACUUACAGGUCUUAUAUACAGGUUUAUAACAUCCUGAGAGGGAGAAAAUUAUGACAAAAUGUGUGAACUAUGCUUUUAAGCAGUUUUUAGUUGGAAAAGAUGGAGUACAUUUGUUCUGUUCUUAUGUUUUUGUUUCAACAUGAUCUCACAAAGUUCCGUGGGAUAGUCAGGUUUGGGUAGGGAUGUCAUUUCAUGUAAAUCUAACCCUAAACCGAAGCGAAAAUGGUAAGAAAAUAGGACAAAACAGAUGAGUAACCAAUCCGUGAGAAUGCCACGGAAAAGACAGUCCGUAGCAGGGCCACGGAAAAAUGCGAAGAUCCGUGAGAAUGCCACGGAAAAAUGAGCACAAAAUUCCGUGACUAUGCCACGGAAAUUCGUGAGAUCAGGUUGUUUUGUUUAUUUAUGUAUGUAUAUAUGUAUGUAUGUGUGUAUGUAUUUAUGCUUCUAUACAUGUAUGUAUUUAUACAUUUAAAUGCAGGUGCAAAUGACUAAAUGAAAAUAAAGCAUUAUACAUGUAUUUGUAAGUUUUUAAUUAUUUAUUUAUAAAGCAAAUAAUAGUAAUAAAUAAUAAUAAUAAUAAUAAUAAUAAUAAUAAUAAUGGGGUUAAAACAGCAUUGCAAAAAUAACCCAACAAAUUGGAUAAUUUCAUAACCCAACUAAUUGGGUAAACCUUUCUACCCAAUGCAUUGGGUUAAAAUAACCCAACAAAGGGUCGGUGCUAUAGUAACCCACCAUUGGGUUAUUUAUUGGGUUAUUUUUAACCCAAAUGUUUUUAGUGAGUGCAUUUCAAAUCCGUUAAAUCUUUAGUUUACCGGCUAUUUUAGCUGCAAUAAACAAAUCAAGUAAAAAUCGCAUGCCACAGGAGCACAUUCAUCACAAAAUCAUAAUUGUUUACUUUCCUAAAUAUUAUUAUUGAUGUUAAGUCGACUUUGCAUCGAAGUUUUUUUAUGUUUUCUAACUUUGAGGCAGCUGCAUGCCAUAUUCUUUAUAAACACUCAAAAGAAACUGCUCCACUUGAUUACUGCUUGUAUAAGGUCAACAAAUGUUCCACAUUAAAACUAAUCAAAGCUAAAAUCUAAAGCAAUCAUAAUAUAUAUUUAUAUAUCAUAUAAUAUAUAUUUCAAUGUUAUAUUUAAGGUAAACAGACAGGCGCGGCUCCAGAAAUGCAUCCAUUAAGCUUUAUCCGCAUUGUAAAUGCGCUGCUUGCGCAUCCAAUGUCCAAAAACAAUAAACGUGUGAAUUAAUGAACAACAAUUUGUUUUUAUAUAUUUUAAGUGUAAUGCACAGCCAAGCCAGGUGACUUGCACGACCCACCUUAUUCCCCUGUGCUGUGCAAUGCAUUUAUUGGGAACCCCUAAUAUAAAUUAUCCUUUAAAGUGAAGGAAUAAUGGAUGCAUUGGAGCAGUUUAUGCAUGAUACUUUUGGACAUGAAGUUGCAGGUUUUGCGUGGGUUUGAUAUAAAAUAAAAUAUACAAGGUUUAUAUUUAGUUGUUUGCAAUUUUAAAUAUUUUUACCAGGUAUUCCUAAUAAAUGUAACUUGAACUAUUUAUUACAUAAAGUGAACAAUUGAUUGUCGAGCAAUCGAUAUCAACCUAAUCAGCACCAUCGCCAUGGACAGCACCUGGUAACGUCGUACGUAAGAAAGUAUACCUUAAGAAAUCCGCUAAGGUACAGUUCGGGAAACACGCCUAGAAAAGGUAUAACUGUAGUUAAGAUUUAACUUAAAGGCGGAGUCCACGAUGUUUGAAAGCCAAUGUUGAUAUUUGAAAUCGGCUAAACAAACACACCCCUACCCCAAUAGAAUCUGGACCUUCUGUUGAUAGACCCGCCCCACACAUACGCAACCCGGCAAGGAUGUCGGUUAGUAGACACGCUCCUUACUGCUGAUUGGCUAUAAGUGUGUUUUGGUAGUCGGCCCGUCUCCUUUUCCAAAGCGUUUUUCAAACAUCGUGGACUCCGCCUUUAAGAGUCUUCGUAGCACGCUAAGAGACAACGUUAUCGGGAAACGCAGCCCUGCAAUCUUAUUGGUAUAAAAAACAGUAGACUUUUUAUUAGGGGCCUGCUUAUCCAUUUAAACUCUCAUAAACACAUUAAUAACUACUGGCUAACUACUCCUUUAUUAAUACAAGAAGGCAACAGUUUCUUCAACUGUGCACUGCUUGGCAAGAGCUGUUCCAUUUUUCUUGCUAAAGAUGACAAAUCUGAUAAGAUUACUCCGGCAUUAACAGCCCUAUAGAGCACGGUGCUUUUAAUCUGACCAGGGAAACAACACCCGGAGGAUAACAAGAACUAUUCUGAUAUAACACAAUUAUGUCUAUUGUGUGCCUAAAAUUCUGGUGUUACUAACACAUAUAGUCCUGCUGAAAGAGACAUUCUAAAUAUAAGGUUACAGUGUAAUUGGAUGGAAACACAUUUUAGUUUUUUUUGCCACAUUUAAAUGACAAUCACCAUAUGGUUUAUAGUGCAAAUGAUCUAGGUGUGACCUAACAAAGCAACUAUUGAUAACAGCUAUCUCAUUCAUGAGAUCAACAUUGCUUGUCGCUUCUCGUCAUUCCACCUUCGGACAUGGUGUAAGUUAUAAAGCAGUUUCCGGCCAGGAAGCACCUGUUGUUCUAAUCUAACCAAGGUGGUGGGCCUAUGUUCAGGCAGCCCUCUGUGGUCUACAGCUGGAGGUCUACAAACGUGUAGUCCGCAGGUCCAAUACACAAGCAGUCAAAAAAAAAACAUCAGCAUGAGACUAGGGUGAGCUAGCUGGGAUGUUUGCUGAGUCAAAUUCAAUCAUGCCACAUCAUUAAUAUAAAAUCUGAACACAGCAAGCAACAGGGCAUGAGACGUAAUGUGUUAAGUGCGGACCUCAUACAUUAACAUUUGUUGUAACAAAAUAUAGACAGAAAAUUGAGAUUUUGUAAAAGAAUUCCAUAUGUAAAAUAAACAUGGAGAUUUAUUUCAAUGUUUCAAUCCCCAAACAAUAAAAGUCAGCAUUAACUUUUACACCAAGUGUCAAUACAUUGUAAGAGGUUCUUUUAUAAGAGGUGGAAAAUAACUUUAGUGUUCCUAAACAGCUCAAGUUUGUAAUGAAGAAAUAAAAUUAGCACUUCACUUCUAACAAUAUUCCAUGAUGUGGACAUUGGCAUAUGAGAUUACACUCUCCUGCCUACGCACUUUUCUCUCUUCUCACACACUACCUUCUCAUUGCCGUGAAGACCAUAAACCAGUUUGAAAGCACCCAGCUCUCAAUGCCUUAUGUAUAUGUCAUGUGACAAAGAAAGAGAAUGUUCUAUUUUUCAUUUAAUAAGUUAAACAAUAUCGGUUAAAGCAUGCUAGAUCACAGGCUGUGUCAAGAGAGAGCGUAGAUAUCAGGUGGAGGGAGAACGGCAAAGCUAGCCAAAGUCUCGGCAGGUAUCUCCCUUCCUCUUCUAUUUAUAAACUGUGAGCCACUCUGAUCCAAAAAUAAGACAGUGACCAAUUUUAACCUGAACAAUACUGCAGGCUCACAAUCGUAGUCUCUGGCACACAUACUGUAUGUGCAUACACACACAGCAGACAAACACAAGCAAAAUCUCAUGGCUGAGCUAUUUCUGUACGGACAGCACCAUUUAGGAAGUGUGGGCCACGAGCCAGCUAGCAGCGUAAUAAAACGCCUGCGUCAUGCGGUCUCUUGUCAUAGGAGCUCCUGCCAUUGUCAGAGUUGAGCACAAGCACACAAACACACAUGCAAAAGGUUAUUUGUUUUUCCAGAGGGCCUGUAACAGAGCAGCUGCAGGUGAAAGAGCCACCUCCGCACUUCACCAUACAAAGCAAAGCACUCCAUGGCCGUCCUGUACUGUCCACCAAAGUUUCAAAUGAAGUGCUGCUUUUAUGAAUUAUGUAUAAAACUCAGUGUGGCACAUUUCAGAUUUCUCUCUUUCUCUCUCAGUGGUCGAACUUUGUGAAAACUACUGAAAGAAAAGCCAUACAUCAAACACACUUUGAACAGGCAAAAACUGGAGCACAAUAUUUUUCCAUUGUCAGUUUACAUGACAAAUGAAAGGGCACCUAUUUCAUUGCUAAAAAAACAACGCUUUAUUGUGUAUUUGGCAUAACACAAUGUGUUGGGAGGAAUUAUGACCUGUUUGUUGUAGUCCAAGAAAAGAGAUUAAUGUUGGAGAUGAUAACUCAUCAUUUACUUUGGGGUAUGUACCUUUUGCAUAUCGUUAACAUUAGGGCUGCACGUUAACUCUUUCCCCGCCAUUGACGAGAUAUCUCGUCAAUUAAGAGAAAACGCUUCCCCGCCAAUGACGAGAUUUUCCGUCUUUCCGCAAUACCGCUAUUAUCCACCAGGUGGCGCCCUUCCGCAACUUUUUAAACCCGGAAGUAUUGCCCUAUGACAAGCUGCUGCAUGUCCGUGUCUGUUUUAAGGAUCGCUCUGAAUGGGAUCUCUAUGAAAAGUCCGUCACAAACAUGGAAUUAUCUCUGCUUUUUGCUCAAAAUGUGGUGUUUUUGCAGAAACCUACCCAUAUUCAAAAGCUGAUUAGAAAAGAACUACUCAAGGUAGGAUGAAACGUUUUUUUUUGUUUGAAACCAGAGGGUCUGUUCUUUCAUUUGGUAUAUUGUAUGUUUAUAUAUCUGAAGAAGAACAUUUUCUGGAAGGCAUUAAACUUUGGUGAAAAUCAUGAAAAACGCUGGCGCUGGCUGGCAACUUUUUUUAAAAAUGCUGGCGGUGAAAGAGUUAAAUGGCAUGUGAUAUCAUGCGCAUCUCAUCAGUAAAGCCGGUUCCUUGAUUUGUAGUAAAUCGCCAUCAGCUGCUUUCAGAUGGAGCAGCAUUUACUAAACAAAGCGGUAGUUCACUUACAAGCUGGGCCAUAUCGCAUACAUAUUGCAGGCGAUAUGUCCGUGAUAAUUAAUGCUCUGAUUGACAGUGAACUACGGCUCUGUUUAGUAAAUGCUGCUCCAUCUGAAAGCAGCUGAUGGCGAUUGUAAAAUGUAAAAUCAUGAAUCAGAUAAUUGGUACAUACUCCAAAGUAAAGAUGACUUGAGAUAUCGUCUCCAACGUAAAUCUCUUUUCUUGGACUACAACAAACACACAAAUUGCAGGCAACAGUUUACUUUCUGGGAUUGGUGGUGUAGAAAAGACCGACAUUAUCAUAAUUCCUCCCACUUCGGACUUCAGCCUGUAAGUAACUCCUUUUAGCAUUGCAUUGUGACCGAAUCUUUCAAACAAGAUAAGGAGCGUCACAUUUCCGGCUGACAUCAGAGGUGACAUAUGAGCUGGCCAAUCAGCUGGCCAAUGGCUUUUCAAAUCGUUGAGUUUUGUACAUAAAUCAGUGCAUUUCAGGAAGAGAUCUGAAAUCUUUUUAACCAUAAAACAUGCAAACACAUUGUAUUAUACCAAAUACACAAUUGUUUUUUUAGCAAUGAAAUAGUUGCAUUUUAAAAAUAUAUUUGUCUCCGUGCUCAAGAUUUAAACUUUUUUAAUUGAAAAAGUGACACAAAAGUGAAAAUAAAAUCUAGAAACUUCAUCAGUUUACAAAGUUAAAACAGAGCGGACAGCUUUUGGCUGAAACUGGCUCAACUGUUUUAUUAUUUUUUUUUUUUUUGGGAGAUGUAUGACAGCCUGGUGAAGGGCCCUGUGCAAACGGCAUGACAAACAUAAAGGCUCUAAGUGUCUCAACACCAAAUUCAGAGACACAUUUCCUCUUCUUUUCUCACUGCUCCUCUUUUUCUCCUAUCUCGAGUGUCCAGCACGGCAGGCUUUUUUCGAAGGUUCUGCCUCCGAUGCUGACAGGCUGCUGUUGAGAACAGUGCAGAAAGACACACAUGUAGCUUGGCAGAACACCACUCAAAAGCUGCUCUUGUGAGCACCAGAGCUUGCUGAGAAGCUGUCCUUGCGAGCUUGGCAGAAUUAAAUAUCUCUUCUUCACAUUAAUGAGAAGAAACUAUCAUUUCCUUCAUUUUACUGCCACAUUAUGAUCUGUGAUUAAUUCAAGCAAAAGAUGAUAAAGAAUAAAAUCAAAGUAUUGCAACCUCCUAAAAAUGUCAAAUGGACCUCAAUUGUGAGCGCAUAAAUUGCUAAAAAUAUAUGUCUUGCCAUACGCCACGGUGGCACAGGCAGCUUCAGCGACACUGAGGGUUAUGAAUGUUACGUGAAGCUGGGGCAUAGAGAGCUCUCUGUCCCCCAUCUCACCGGAGAACCUUACAGAAUGACUGGGUUAUGCUGCCCCACUGACAAAGAUAAAUUACAUUAGCUGGAAAAUAUUUCAGCAUUUUUCCCUUCCUUCCUCUUUUGCCUCGUCUCCCAUUUUUUUCUUUUUUUAGAAUUUUGUCAUUUUUUUGGCUUGCAUCCAUCCGUGUGCCAAGGGUCCUUCAGCCGCAAAAAGAAAUCCAUACAGUUUGCUGUGCUUUAUCACAGA